rnacentral:rRNA from 1 species
UACGUAGGGGGCAAGCGUUGUCCGGAAUCAUUGGGCGUAAAGAGCGUGUAGGCGGCCCGGUAAGUCCGCUGUGAAAGUCCAGGGCUCAACCCUGGGAUGCCGGUGGAUACUGUCGGGCUCGAGUCCGGAAGAGGAGUGUGGAAUUCCUGGUGUAGCGGUGGAAUGCGCAGAUAUCAGGAGGAACACCUAUAGCGAAGGCAGCUCGCUGGGACGACACUGACGCUGAGACGCGAAAGCGUGGGGAGCGAACAGG